UACGAAGGGGGCUAGCGUUGUUCGGAAUUACUGGGCGUAAAGCGCGCGCAGGCGGUCCUUUAAGUCAGGGGUGAAAGCCCAGAGCUCAACUCUGGAACUGCCUUUGAAACUAGAGGACUUGGGUACGGGAGAGGUGAGUGGAAUUCCGAGUGUAGAGGUGAAAUUCGUAGAUAUUCGGAAGAACACCAGUGGCGAAGGCGGCUCACUGGCCCGUUACCGACGCUCAGGCGCGACAGCGUGGGGAGCGAACAGG
rnacentral:rRNA from 1 species